GACGAACGCUGGCGGCGUGCUUAACACAUGCAAGUCGAACGGAAAGGCCCUGCUUUUGUGGGGUGCUCGAGUGGCGAACGGGUGAGUAACACGUGAGUAACCUGCCCUUGACUUUGGGAUAACUUCAGGAAACUGGGGCUAAUACCGGAUAGGAGCUCCUGCUGCAUGGUGGGGGUUGGAAAGUUUCGGCGGUUGGGGAUGGACUCGCGGCUUAUCAGCUUGUUGGUGGGGUAGUGGCUUACCAAGGCUUUGACGGGUAGCCGGCCUGAGAGGGUGACCGGCCACAUUGGGACUGAGAUACGGCACAGACUACUACGGGAGGCAGCAGUGGGGAAUAUUGCACAAUGGGCGGAAGCCUGAUGCAGCAACGCCGCGUGCGGGAUGACGGCAUGCGGGUUGUAAACCGCUUUCGCCUGUGACGAAGCGUGAGUGACGGUAAUGGGUAAAGAAGCACCGGCUAACUACGUG
rnacentral:rRNA from 1 species